rnacentral:rRNA from 1 species
ACACGUAGGGGGCGAGCGUUGUUCGGAAUCAUUGGGCGUAAAGGGCGUGCAGGCGGUCGUGCAAGUCCGGCGUGAAAGACCCCGGCCCAACCGGGGGGACGCGCUGGAAACUGCAGGGCUUGAGUACAGGAGAGGAUGCCGGAAUUCCAGGUGUAGGGGUGAAAUCUGUAGAUAUCUGGAAGAACACCAAUGGCGAAGGCAGGCAUCUGGCCAUGUACUGACGCUGAGACGCGAAGGUGCGGGGAGCAAACAGGUUUAGAUACCCUGGUAGGCCGCACAGUAAACGAUGUGCACCAGGUGGCGGGGGGUCGACCCCCGGUACCGUAGCUAACGCAUUAAGUGCACCGCCUGGGGAGUAUGCUCGCAAGGGUGAAACUCAAAUGAAUUGACGGGG